UACGUAGGCAGCGAGCGUUGUUCGGAGUUACUGGGCGUAAAGGGUGUGUAGGCGGUCCUCUAAGUUUGGUGUGAAAUCUCCCGGCUCAACCGGGAGGGUGCGCCGAAAACUGGGGGGCUAGAGUGCGGGAUGGGUAAGUGGAAUUCCUGGUGUAGCGGUGAAAUGCGUAGAUAUCAGGAGGAACACCUGUGGUGUAGACGGCUUACUGGACCGCGAACUGACGCUGAGACACGAAAGCGUGGGUAGCAAACAGG
rnacentral:rRNA from 1 species